UUGACGCUGUGGUCCCAGGAACCGGCCCGGCCGCCGAGGACGUCCGCCCCGAAGUGGUCGCCGUCGGCCAGCACGCCGAGCGUGGAGUCGUCGCCGUACUCGGUCGUGCCGAUCCUGGCCACCUUGCCGUGGGCGAGCAGGUGGAGCCGGUCGGCGGGCGAACCCGCGGUCACGAUCACGUCGCCCGUCUCGUACUCGCGCUGGACGAACCGGUCGGCGAGCACGCCCAGCGCCGAGUCGUCCUCGAAACCGCGCAGCAGCGGCAGCUCCCGGAGCUUCUGCGGGAUCACGCGGACCUCGGUGCCGGUGCUGGUGAACUCGACCCGCCCGUCGCCCAGCGCGAAGGUGAGCCGCCGGUUGACCCGGUAAGUACCCGCCGUGACCUGCACCCAGGGCAGCAUGCGCAGCAGCCAUCGCGGCGAGAUGCCCUGCAUCUGCGGCGCGGUCUUGGUCGUGGUGGCCAGUUUGCGCGCCGCGGCGGUGCCCAGGCUCAGCGAGGCGUCGCCG
rnacentral:antisense_RNA from 1 species